rnacentral:lncRNA from 1 species
UGAGGCAGAGAGAGGAUAUUGGAAAUUAGUCUAAUCAAUGUGAAAAGAAUCUGACUGCAAGUCUAAGGGUGACAUUUUUCUUCUAAAAAAUCUCCUGUACUCUGUCCUUCUUUCUCCACAUUGGGAGUACUGUAAGUACCAAUACAAGAAAAUAUUUAAGGGGAAUCCUAUUGCUAAUUUUAGCUAUUUAAAAAAAUAGCAGGGAUUAAAAUCUAUUUAUGGAACCAAGAUGUCCGAGUAAUCAUCAGCAACUCUGUGACACCAUGAGAAUCCUCUCUAACCAAGAUUAAAAUAUCACCACCAAAUGAAUACAAGAGUGAAAGAACCAUCAAGUAGACAGAGUAAAACAACUUUCAAGAAAAGAAAAACCCAAAAGUUCUUUGCCACCACUGCUCUGGAUGUCCUUCAAGACAGUUAAUUUAUUUUAUAAGCAAAUAUGAUAUUCUGAAGUUAUCUCCAACAAUAGAAUAAGGACAUAUGAGGAAGAGGAUGUGAUGACCCCUCCAUAUUGGACUUGGAAACUAGAGUCAAUCUUUGGUGCUAACAGCCUCCCCCUUUCUCAAGAAGUCAGACAACAUGGUAUAGACUGUGCAUAUAUUAUCAUAUUAUACAUAUUUCCCUGUUUAUUGGGUUCUGAAACAAGAUAUAUUGCUUACACUAGACAAAAAUUCAUGGAAGAAAUAAAGUGAAGAGUGGUAUAUUUCA